UUACUGUUGGACGUAUUGUUUCUCCACUAUCGAGUUGGAUGGAUGCUGACCCAGUUUCGGAAGUAAAUAUUUGGUUGCUGCUAUUCACUGCGAGACGUUCUGUUUCUGCUGCUUUGCCUGACGACGACAACGACGACGACGAUACCUUGCUCCAAAACGAUGAAAUCAUUGGACUUCUGUUGCCUAGCCUGACGACGGCGAUGAGGACGAUUCUGUGCUUGGUACCGUUGAAUGUUCUACGACGAAAUGCUUGUGAUGCUGAUGAUAUUGACGAUGUCCAAUCGAAACUUCCACAUUGAUCUACUCGACGUUCCACGCACGCGAUUCAAACAGACAGAUUUAGAACUGUACAACCCAAUCAACAGCAGCGAGGGGAGGUCAACCACGGGAAAGCAACAACCAACAGAACCAAGGGGAAAAUCCGAG